rnacentral:rRNA from 1 species
UACGUAGGUGGCAAGCGUUGUCCGGAUUUACUGGGCGUAAGGAGCGCGCAGGCGGUCGUUCAAGUCGAGUGUGAAAGCCCCCGGCUCAACUGGGGAGGGUCACUCGAUACUGAUCGACUCGAAGGCAGGAGAGGGAAGCGGAAUUCCCGGUGUAGUGGUGAAAUGCGUAGAUAUCGGGAGGAACAUCAGUGGCGAAGGCGGCUUUCUGGCAUGUUCUUGACGCUGAGGCGCGAAAGCUAGGGUAGUAAACGGG